AUGUCUUCCAAACUUCUGCUCCUGCUCAUGUUCUGCACAGGUGUGCCUCUGGGGCCCCACUGUAGCUGUUAUGUGACCUCCUCCUACAUAUUGACCCAGACACCCUCAGCCUCAGUGAAAAUGGGUCAGACAGCAACAAUCACCUGCUCUGGAGAAUUACUUGAUAAGAAAUAUACAAGUUGGUUCCAGCAGAAACCAGGCCAAGCCCCUGUGCUGCUAAUUUAUAAGGAUAGUGAGAGGCCCUCAGGUGUCCCUGACCGAUUUUCUGGCUCUAGCUCUGGGAAAACAAACACCCUGUCCAUCAGCAGAGUCCAAGCUGAGGAUGAGGCUGACUAUUACUGUCAGUUAUGGGACAGCAGUGAUAAUAACCAUAGUGUUACAGGGUGGUGGGGAAGGUCAGAAGACAGUGUCACCCUGGGCACUGAUGAAUGUCAGGACACAGUGACACCUCAUCCUGAAAAUGACUAG